UGAGGAAUAUUGGUCAAUGGGCGAGAGCCUGAACCAGCCAAGUAGCGUGCAGGAUGACGGCCCUAUGGGUUGUAAACUGCUUUUAUGCGGGGAUAAAGUGAGGGACGUGUCCCUUUUUGUAUGUACCGUAUGAAUAAGGACCGGCUAAUUCCGUG
rnacentral:rRNA from 1 species